rnacentral:rRNA from 1 species
AGCAGUCGCCGCGGUAAUACGAAGGGGGCUAGCGUUGUUCGGAUUUACUGGGCGUAAAGGGUGCGUAGGCGGACUGAUAAGUCAGGGGUGAAAUCCCAAGGCUCAACCUUGGAACUGCCUUUGAUACUGUUAGUCUUGAGUUCGAGAGAGGUGAGUGGAACUGCGAGUGUAGAGGUGAAAUUCGUAGAUAUUCGCAAGAACACCAGUGGCGAAGGCGGCUCACUGGCUCGAAACUGACGCUGAGGCACGAAAGCGUGGGGAGCAAACAGGAUUAGAUACCCCCGUAGUCCCUGUCUCUUAUAC